AUUUAUGAUCUCACAAAUGAAGCAACGACACUGAUGCUAGAAGCGGACAAAAACGUCGAAGAGUUCGAUAGGACCUAUGAUGCCUUUACAACGGACUACAUCAUUGAUACAUACCGGGAAUGGAGGGAAAAACAAACCUUGCUGGACACCAUUGCAUCUGCACGCAGAUCCAGGGAUGCUAGUGUGGGGAAGAUGCCAGAGGAGUAGUUUUGUGCUUCAAAUACUAAUCGCCGAGCCUCAUCUCUCCA